CUGUUACUCAAAGGACCUUCACUUCAGCUCAGAGGGCCAGGAGUCAAGACGCCCAGAUGUCUGCUGAAAACAACUUCACAUCCCUGGGAUUCACCAGGAAACCUUGUCAAAAAACCUUGAAGGACAUUCAAGAAUGUCCAUGAAGCAGAAAAGAUCAGAAACUACUCUCAUCCAUCAGGGUCAUCAGAUCGCCUGCUCCAUCUUGUCAUGGGAUGCUGACAUGCUCUUCUGACAGCUCUUCACAUCUCAGACUCCUAACACUUCAUUGUUUCCCAAGAUGCCACACUAUUCUACUUUAUACUGAUGAUGUCAUGCUGCAGGGGGCCAGAGAACAGACAUGAACAAGCACCCUAAAUGUGACAGAGGUGUCAUGAAAAUACCAAGGCCUGACAUCUCAAUAAGGACUCUGGGAUCUGGUAUUAUGAACAUGUGGGGUUUUUUUCCUCUGCAAAGUGUAUGACAAUGUACCUUCCAUCUCCCACCGCCAAAAAGGCACAGUGCUUUGCCAAUCUCCAGGGAUUUGCGGGUUACAUUGAUUUCAGUGUUCCAACCCAUUUUCUAGGUGAUCUAAAAGCUCCAAGUUCUGGAGCCAGGCAUAUAGCUCUGAUGGCGGAAUGUUUGCCUAGCAUCCACAAAGCCACUAGCACAACAUAAACCAGGCAAAGUGGCACAUGCCUGUAAUAGCGUCACUCAUGAUGUGGUGGCAGGAGGAUCAGAAGUUCAAGGUCGCCCUUCACUACGCAGUUAAUGCAGGGCUAUCAUGGGAUACAUGGGACUCUGUCAAAAAAAAAAAAAAAAAAGUGCUCCCAGCUCUAUACAAAGCCCUGAGCAAGAGAAAACUAACUCUGCACCUGGUGCAUGUGGUACAAGCUCUGCCACCUGACACUAGAGACCUUGCGGGUCCCAUGAGGGGCUGGCUUUCUACAGUGGAUGCCAAGGAUGCCAAGUAGAGCUGGGAUGUGCCUCACAGUAGCACAGUAGAAGGUCCUAGGUUGUUUUCGUUUGUUUGUUUGUUUGGGUUUUUUGGUUUUUUUUUGUUUUUGUUUAGGGACUGGAGAGAUGGUUCAGCAAUUAAGAGCACUGGCUAUUCUGUUCUUCUAGUGGUCAGGAGUUCAAGUCCCAGAACCACAUGGUGGCUCACAACCAUCUAUAAUGGAAUCCAAUGUCCUCUUCUGGUGUGCAAGUGUACAUGCAGACAAAGUGCUCAUGUAUAAAUAAACCUCUAAAAAAUUA